rnacentral:lncRNA from 1 species
AUGUCAACAUCUGGCUGCUUCUGGCACCUUUUCUGCCUCUCAAGCGUUCUCUAUUCUCCGGCUCUUGCUUGGGAAGGAAGGAAGGAAGCCUUUUCUUGCUGCACCCUUUCUCCUGCAUUCCUAAAGGCCUUGACUUCCGCUUCCAGUCACGUGUUUGAAGCCAAAAUAGUUCUGGCAAGGAAAGCUUGUAGCCUGCCACCUGGAGGCGGUUUGGUGCAUUUGUUCCUCCUGGGAAAAUUGGGAGAGGAAAAAAGGAGGAACCUGCCAUUUCUAGAUGUUCUGGUCAUCCGCAAACCCAAUCAACAAUUGGGCCACACAGUUUACAGAAAACCUACACACACAGAUAGAUACCUUCAUAAAAACUCCAACCAUCACCCAAGUCAAAAAAGGAGCACAAUCAAAGCCCUGACAGACCGUGCACAAAGAAUCUGCGAACCUCACCUCCUCCAAGGUGAACUCAACCACCUAAACUGGGCUCUACAGGCCAAUGGAUACUCCACCACAGACAUCAGAAGAGCUGCAAGGCCAAGAACAAGCCAUGAGAGUCAAGACAAAGAUCCACCCAGAGGAAAGGUGUCCUUACCAUACAUCAAGGGAACUACUGACCGCAUAGGGAAGCUGAUGAAGAAGCACAACCUACAAACUAUCUACAGACCCACGAAGAAAAUCCAACAAAUGCUACGGUCAGCGAAGGACAAGAGGGAUCCUCUCUCUUCUGCAGGAGUCUACCGGAUACCAUGCAGCUGUGGACAAGUCUACAUAGGGACCACCAAACGCAGCGCCCAAACAAGAGUCAAAGAACAUGAAAGGCACUGCAGACUAAUUCAACCAGAGAAAUCAGCCAUAGCAGAGCAUUUGAUGAACCAGCCUGGACACAGAAUACUAUUUGAGAACACAAAAAUGCUGGACCAUUCUAACAACUAUCAUGUCAGACUACACAGAGAAGCCAUUGAAAUCCACAAGCAUGUGGACAACUUCAACAGAAAGGAAGAAACCAUGAAAAUGAACAAAAUCUGGCUACCAGUAUUACAAAACUCAAAAAUCAGAACAGUAAAUAAAAAGCAAUACUCUGAAAACAGAGGGUUUCCAGACAUGAAUCAACCAAGGGCAGUUAACGACUCUAAACAAAGGAUGCCCCAGAGGCAGGAAGAAGACAGCAGAUAA